UGGGGAAUUUUGCGCAAUGGGCGAAAGCCUGACGCAGCAACGCCGCGUGGGUGAUGAAGGUCUUCGGAUUGUAAAACCCUGUCGUCAGGGACGAAGGUGCACAUGUUAAUAGCGUGUGUGCUUGACGGUACCUGGAGAGGAAGCCCCGGCUAACUCUGUGCCAGCAGCCGCGGUAAUACAGAGGGGGCAAGCGUUAUUCGGAAUUAUUGGGCGUAAAGGGCGCGUAGGCGGUUUUUUAAGUCAGAUGUGUAAUCCCCGAGCUUAACUUGGGAACUGCAUCUGAGACUGGAAGGCUAGAGUACUGGAGAGGGUGGUGGAAUUCCUCGUGUAGCGGUGAAAUGCGUAGAGAUGAGGAGGAACACCAGUGGCGAAGGCGGCCACCUGGACAGUAACUGACGCUGAGGCGCGAAAGUGUGGGUAGCAAACAGG
rnacentral:rRNA from 1 species